UCCCUGGUGGCUCAGAGGUUAAAGCAUCUGCCUGCAAUGUGGGAGACCUGGGUUCGAUCCCUGGAUCGGGAA
rnacentral:tRNA from 1 species